GACGAACGCUGGCGGCGUGCCUAAUACAUGCAAGUAGGACGCAGUUGCGAACGGGUGAGUAACGCGUAGGUAACUACCUAUUAGAGGGGGCUAACUAUUGGAAACGAUAGCUAAUACCUCAUACUAGUAGAUGGCCCUGCGUUGUAUUAGCUAGUAGGUCGGGUAAAGGCCUCACUAGGCCACGAUACAUAGCCGACCGGUGGAGGAGAUCGGCCACACUGGGACUUGGACACGGGCCAGACUCCUACGGGAGGCAGCAGUAGGGAAGCUUCGGCAAUGGGGGGAAACCUGACCGAGCAACGCAGCGGGAGUGAAGAAGGUUUUCGGAUCGGAAAGCUCGUUUGUUAAGGAAGCGGUACUUAACCAGAAAGGGACGGCUAACUACGUGCCAGCAGCCGCGGUAAUUC
rnacentral:rRNA from 1 species